GACACCCAGAGGAAAGUCAAGGAAGGGCACUCAUGAAGCACUGUAGAAGAAUCUGCGUGGUCUAAGUACCACUCUAAAAGACAUCACCAAACAAAGGCAAAUGAGGCAUGAGAUUCUGCUGACGUCCUUUGGCUUCCUGUUCAGUGAGGUUGUGCUUGGCAUCCUCGGAUUUAGGCACAAUGUGAAUUUUCUUAGACUUCACCCUCCAGACCUCAUUUUGUUUCAUCAGCCCUUCCCUGCCUGUGAAUAAUGGUUGAGAUCGCAUCAUGCGGUGGCUGCGGGGAGGGAAGAUCCCCUCUGUUGCAGCCCUUUCGGUGGCAGCAGCGUGGGUGAGAUCAGAAAUUCGGUGUGAGUCUCUUCCCUCCCCGUGGAUCCCAGUGCAGAGAAGCCAGCAGCAGUCAAGAGAAGCCACCGUGUUUUUGUGUUGGUGGCUUUUUUAUGAAUGCAGGAAUUACCACAAUUGUAUGAAUAAUCCAUUCAUGAAAAUGAUGCUUGAAAAAGGAAAGUACUCUUCUAUUAUUCUUGAAAAUAGUUAACCCAGUUACUUUUUUUUUGCCUUUGCUGUGGUGGGACCUGG